GACGAACGCUGGCGGCGUGCCUAACACAUGCAAGUUGAGCGACCAACCAGGGCUUUCCCUGGGCCAACGCAGCGAACGGGUGAGUAACUCGCGGGUAACUUACCCCCCUAACCGGGACAACCCACUUCAACUCGGGCUAGUACCUGCCGUGUCCUCUAUUCUUCGGUUCAGUUCGUUAAUGAAGCUUCGUCUUCCUUAUCCUUAUGGGCCCGCGCCCCAUUAGUUUGUUGGUUAGGUAACGGCCUACCAAGCCCGCGAUGGGUAGCUGGUCUGAGAGGAUGAUCAGCCACACUGGAACUGAGACACGGCCCAGACUCCUACGGGAGGCAGCAGUAGGGAAUCUUGCGCAAUGGGCGAAAGCGUGACGGAGCAACGCCGCGUGGGGGAAGAAGGCCUUCGGAUUGUAAAACCCUGUUAGGAGGGAAGAAGGAAUGGGGGUGAAUAGACGUACGGAUUGACGGUACCUAAACAAGAAGCCACGGCUAACUACGUG
rnacentral:rRNA from 1 species